GGCGGGCAAGCGGGCGGCAUCUCUCGGCCCGGGCGCCCCUCCCCCCGCGGGCAACAAACCCGCCGCAUGCUCUGCAUUGGCCGUGGCCGCAGAGGACCACCCGUGGCUGUGCCCUCGGACCGAGCCGACUGCGGGAGUGGCCACCAACUUCACAGCCUACCACCCCCGAAAUCAUGCCUGCCCCUGGGGCUGCAGGAGGAUUAGAAGACUUUCGAGAAGGGUGGACACUGAGGCCUCCCAGAACAGCUCAGCAGGAGGCCCAGCACCAAGAUCUGCUCCAAAAACAUGGAAGGAAGGAAGGAAGGAAGGAAAAGAGAAGACAGUACCAGCAUUGAUGAAAAUUGAAAUCUGGGCCACUCUGACUCUGUUGAUGGAAGGGAAAAUUAGAACAACUUUUCUGGAAAACCACUGAGCGGUGGUGUCAAGAGCUUUAAAAACAGACAGACCCUCUGGUCCCAUUCAUCUACUUUUAGGAACUCAAUCCAAGAAAUAACCAAAGACGCCAAAAAAGACCCAUGUACAAGGAUGCUUAUUACUGUUAUUUAUAACUGUGAAAAAUCCCAACCAACAUAAAUGUCUAGCAAUGGAGGGCUGGUUAAAUAAAUUAUGAUACAUCCAUAUAUAAGAAUGUUAUGUAAACAUUAAAUGUCAUGUUCUUGAAGAAUUUUUAAUAACCUGGGGAAAUACCAUUUUAUAAGUAAAGCACAACAGAAAACAAAACCGUCCAUCUAGGAUGGUCUUGAUUGUAUAAAGAAAACAUUUAAUCAAUUCAUGUAAAGAAAGUCUGGAAGGAAAUAAAUGAGAGUUAAUCUGAGAAGAUUAUGGGUGAUUUUUUUGUUUGUUUCAGCAUACUUCUUUAUUUCUUACAAAUCUACAAUUUUUCAGGAAAAAUUUAUUAGAAAUACAUGCAACCUGGGAGCUGGGCAUGGGAGAAUCAAAAGUUUGAGACCAGCCUGGGCAACUUAGUGAGACCCUGUCUCAAAAUAAAAAAUAAAAAGGGAUGGAGAUGUAGCUCAGAGGUAGAGAGCCUGCCUAGAAUGUGUGAGGCCCUGGUUUUAAUCCCCAGUACCAAGACAAAGCAAAAGAAAUACACUUGAUGUACACACAUGGAAGGGAAGUUCAGGAUGUCAGUAGAACAGAGGCUCCUCACCCAGCUUGGGAGCAGUGCCAUCCAGGAAGGCGUCCUGUCCCAGAUGAUGCCUGCAUUAGCCCCAGGGUGAGUAAGCUUUGACCAGAGGAGGGAAAAUUAGUGUUCUAGGCCAGAAAAG
rnacentral:lncRNA from 1 species